rnacentral:ncRNA from 1 species
AGGUCUUGGUCUUAAACCUCACAUUACCUAAAAUCAUCUGUUUAUACAUGCAAGCCUCACCACGCCGGUGAAACAGCCACAACCACCCCGAGCCGGUAUCAGUCACUAUCUUACCACGACGCCAAGCAAUAGCCACACCCCCACGGGUAACACAGCAGUAAUUAACAUUAGGCCAUAAGUGAAAACUUGACCAAGCAAGAUUGAACAUAGGGCCGGUUAAUCUCGUGCCAGCGACCGCGGUUACACGAUAGGCCCAAGGUAAUACUAACGGCGUAAAAAUGACUAAAACGACAGUCCUAAGUCUAGGAAAGAAGCCAAGCCGGGCUGUAAAAAGCCAUAAGCCACACUAAUUACUACCCCUAACAUCACACAACUUUGACUCAUGAAAACUAGGACACAAACUAGGAUUAGAUACCCUACUAUGCCUAGCCGUAACACACAAUUAAACUACCAAUUGUUCGCCAAACAACUACGAGUCAUACUUAAAACUUAAAAGACUUGACGGUACUUCACCACGCCCUAGAGGAGCCUGUCUAAUAACCGACAACCCACGAUUAACCCAGCCCCUCCUUGCCCAACAGUCUAUAUACCGCCGUCGCCAGCCUACCUUGUAAAAGAAAUAAAGUAGGCUAAACAGUACCACACUAAAACGACAGGUCGAGGUGUAACUUAUGAAGGGGACUAAGAUGGGCUACAUUCUCCAACCGAACAUACGGAUAACACUAUGAAAUUAGUCUUUAAAGGCGGAUUUAGCAGUAAGAUAAGAAUAAAAUACCUAACUGAACAUAACGCAAUGAAGUGCGCACACACCGCCCGUCAUCCCUGCCACCACAACAAUAAACCUUAAUAAACCAAUUAAAUUAAACCAACCAGGGCAAGUCGUAACAUGGUAAGUGUACUGGAAAGUGCACUUAGAAA